rnacentral:pre_miRNA from 1 species
UUAAUUAGUAUAGCCUGUUUAAGUGAUCUCAAUAAUUCUUUACAGGCUAUGCUAAUCUGGGC